UUACGGCCAUAUCAUGUUGAAACAUUGGUUCUCGUACGAUCACCGAAGUUAAGCAUCGUCGAGCCUGGCAAGUACCUAGAUGGGUGACCGCUUGGGAAUAUCAGGUGCUGUAG